rnacentral:rRNA from 1 species
GGAUAACAUGCCCUUUAGGCGGAGGAUAACCUCGGGAAACUGAGAAUAAUACUCCAUAGAUCAUGGGAGCUGGAAUGCCUCAUGGUCGAAAGUUCCGGCGCCUAAGGAUUGGUCUGCGGCCUAUCAGGUUGUAGUGGGUGUAACGGACCCACUAGCCUAUGACGGGUAUGGGCCUUGAGAGAGGGAGCCCAGAGAUGGACUCUGAGACACGAGUCCAGGCCCUACGGGGCGCAGCAGUCGCGAAAACUUCACACUGGGGGCAACCCCGAUGAGGGAAUUCCUAGUGCAUGCAUUUAAUGUAUGCUUUUCUUUAGUCUAGAAAGCUAGAGGAAUAAGGGCUGGGUAAGACGGGUGCCAGCCGCCGCGGUAAUACCCGCAGCCCAAGUGGUGGUCGAUAUUAUUGAGUCUAAAACGUUCGUAGCCUGUUCAAUAAAUCUUUGGGUAAAUCGGUGAGCUCAACUUACCGACUUCCGAGGAGACUGUUGAACUUGGGACCGGGAGAGGCUAGAGGUACUUCUGGGGUAGGGGUAAAAUCCUGUAAUCCUAGAAGGACCACCGGUGGCGAAGGCGUCUAGCUAGAACGGAUCCGACGGUGAGGGACGAAGCCCUGGGUCGCAAACGGGAUUAGAUACCCCGGUAGUCCAGGGUGUAAACGCUGCAGGCUUGGUGUUGGGGACCCUUCGUGGGUGUUCAGUGCCGGAGAGAAGUUGUUAAGCCUGCUACUUGGGGAGUACGUCCGCAAGGAUGAAACU